rnacentral:rRNA from 1 species
GACGAACGCUGGCGGCGUGCUUAACACAUGCAAGUCGAACGGAAAGGCCCUGCUUUUGUGGGGUGCUCGAGUGGCGAACGGGUGAGUAACACGUGAGUAACCUGCCCUUGACUUUGGGAUAACUUCAGGAAACUGGGGCUAAUACCGGAUAGGAGCUCCUGCUGCAUGGUGGGGGUUGGAAAGUUUCGGCGGUUGGGGAUGGACUCGCGGCUUAUCAGCUUGUUGGUGGGGUAGUGGCUUACCAAGGCUUUGACGGGUAGCCGGCCUGAGAGGGUGACCGGCCACAUGGGGACUGAGAGACGGCCCAGUCUCCUACGUGAGGCAGCAGUGGGGAAUAUUGCACAAUGGGCGCAAGCCUGAUGCAGCAACGCCGCGUGCGUGAUGCCGUCCUUCGGGUUGUAAACCGCUUUCGCCUGUGACGAAGCGUGAGUGACGGUAAUGGGUAAAGAAGCACCGGCUAACUACGUG